ACACAAACACAAAAAAAAAAAAACGAAAGAAAAAAAGACGGUCAUCAUACACCCAACCUCUCUCCUCCUCCCCCUCUUCUUCUUCUCUUCUUCGUCAUCCCUUUCUUUCUUUU
rnacentral:ribozyme from 14 species